rnacentral:rRNA from 1 species
GAUGAACGCUAGCUACAGGCUUAACACAUGCAAGUCGAGGGGAAACGAUAGAGAAAGCUUGCUUUUUCUAGGCGUCGACCGGCGCACGGGUGAGUAACGCGUAUCCAACCUGCCCAUCACUUGGGGAUAACCUUGCGAAAGUAAGACUAAUACCCAAUGAUAUCUCUAGAAGACAUCUGAAAGAGAUUAAAGAUUUAUCGGUGAUGGAUGGGGAUGCGUCUGAUUAGCUUGUUGGCGGGGUAACGGCCCACCAAGGCGACGAUCAGUAGGGGUUCUGAGAGGAAGGUCCCCCACAUUGGAACUGAGACACGGUCCAAACUCCUACGGGAGGCAGCAGUGAGGAAUAUUGGUCAAUGGACGAGAGUCUGAACCAGCCAAGUAGCGUGCAGGAUGACGGCCCUAUGGGUUGUAAACUGCUUUUAUAAGGGAAUAAAGUGAGUCUCGUGAGACUUUUUGCAUGUACCUUAUGAAUAAGGACCGGCUAAUUCCGUGCCAGCAGCCGCCGUAAAAC